GCCUGGGUGGCUCAGUCAGUUAAGCGUCUGACUUUGGCUCAGGUCAUGAUCUCGCAGUUUGUGAGUUCGAGCCCCACGUCGGGCU
rnacentral:tRNA from 1 species